GGAUAAACGCUGGCGGCGUGCCUUACGCAUGCAAGUCGCACGACCAUUUCGGUGGUAGUGGCGGACGGGUGAGUAACACGUACGUGACCUGUCCCGAACUGGGGGAUAACCGCCCGAAAGAGUGGCUAAUACCGCAUGUGGUCCCUGGGUUGCGGCCCAGGGAGUAAAGCUCCGGCGGUUCGGGAGGGGCGUGCGGUCGAUUAGCUAGUUGGUGGGGUAACGGCCUACCAAGGCAGCGAUCGAUAGCUGGCUGAGAGGACGGCCAGCCACACGGGGACUGAGACACGGCCCCGACUCCUACGGGAGGCAGCAGCGAGGAAUCUUGGUCAAUGGGCGAAAGCCUGAACCAGCGACGCCGCGUGGAGGAUGAAGGCCCUCGGGUCGUAAACUCCUUUUACGUGGAAGAAGAUCUGACGGUACCACGUGAAUAAGCCACGGCUAACUACGUGCCA
rnacentral:rRNA from 1 species